GUGCUUGAUUUGUCUGUACAUAUACUAAAUUUUGAACAAUACAGAGAUUAGCAUGGCUCCUGUGCGAGGAUGACACACAAAUUUAUGAAAGAUUCCAUAUUUUA